rnacentral:lncRNA from 1 species
GGAGACCUUGGACCUGAGACGGCGCCUUCAGUUUCAAGUACUCAGCCUGCCAAAGUGUUACACUCUAGGGGUUCGCCUUCUGAGCCCCAGCACUCUCCGAGGGCAGCUAGCUCCUCAGUCAUACCCCUGAUGAUAGAAAUCUCUUUUCUCGUCGUUUUUUUCUUUGUUUCAGUAAGUACUGGGUACUGAACAGGGCCGUCACAGUGAGACACAUCCCCAGCCCCUUUUUAUUUCUUAUGUUGAUACAGGGUCUUGCUAAGUCACCAAGUUGCCCAGGCUGGGCUUGAACUUGUGACCCUCCUGCCUCCUGCUGGGACUGCAGCCACGCACCACCACACCCAGCUAAGAACUCUUCUUGAGAAGAGCAGAAAGCUGCCUCUCCGCGGCCCUCACUCCCCAGUGGUCCCUGGGACAGGAGGCUGUGCUGGGAUCCUGGUCAGCAACGCCCCUGCUGGAAACUGGGCACAGGGCGCUCCCUCGGGCGCAGCUGGCCCCGUGCCCAGGAAGGUCCUACUUCGGGUCCUACUGCUGACCUCACACGAGUGGAGUCUCUGGAUCGUGACCCCAACCACCAGGAGAAGAGGGCCCCAAAAGCUAAAGGAAAGGGC